rnacentral:rRNA from 1 species
CUCGUGUCGUGAGAUGUUCGGUUAAGUCCGGCAACGAGCGCAACCCACGUCCUUAGUUGCCAGCAUUCAGUUGGGCACUCUAGGGAAACUGCCGAUGAUAAGUCGGAGGAAGGUGUGGAUGACGUCAAGUCCUCAUGGCCCUUACGGGUUGGGCUACACACGUGCUACAAUGGCAGUGACAAUGGGAUAAUCCCCAAAAGCUGUCUCAGUUCGGAUUGGGGUCUGCAACUCGACCCCAUGAAGUCGGAAUCGCUAGUAAUCGCGUAACAGCAUGACGCGGUGAAUACGUUCCCAGGCCUU